ACCUUUAACGAGGGGGAUAACACUGAGAAAUUGGUACUAAUACCCCAUAACACCUUAAGAGGCAUUCUUUUGAGGUUGAAAGUUCCGGCGGUUAGAGAUGGACAUGCGUUGUAUUAGCUAGAUGGUGAGGUAACGGCUCACCAUGGCGACGAUACAGUAGGGGGACUGAGACGGUUAACCCCCCACACUGGUACUGAGACACGGACCAGACUCCUACGGGAGGCAGCAGUGAGGAAUAUUGGUCAAUGGACGCAAGUCUGAACCAGCCAUGCCGCGUGCAGGAAGACGGCUCUAUGAGUUGUAAACUGCUUUUGUACAAGGGUAAACCUCGGUACGAGUACCGAGCUGAAAGUACUGUACGAAUAAGGAUCGGCUAACUCCGUG
rnacentral:rRNA from 1 species